rnacentral:lncRNA from 1 species
GAGUCUGAGAACUGAGACCAGGCGCCUGAGAAAGAAACAUCGAUGUCUGGAAGGAAGCAGGGCCUCAGGAAGGAUACAGUGAGUCUGGGACUUGCAAAGUGCAUUGUGUCUUAGAACUGCUGACAAAUCACUAGAAAUGUUGGCCCUGACUGCCGAUUCACAGCUUUUGACUGCAUGAUUAUUGAUAGGAAUUCCAGUAUGAUGGACCAGCCACAGCUGUAUUUCACAGGAGAUGAACUGGACAAGGACAUGUGAGUGGAGGUAAAGGACCUGUA